rnacentral:lncRNA from 1 species
AUGAGAAAAACAACUGUUACUGUUUACACUCUUCAAUCAAGAUCACUCAUGACAAAUAGCAAUGUAUCAGCAGUACGAGACAAUUUACCACUGCAUGAGCUAAAAGAGCAUUUAUGUCGGCCUGCACUCGCCUCUGUGCGUGGGUGGAAGUCUGAGCAAUUUUACCCUUCCAGACAAAGAGAAGAGAAGACCAACUGCUUCAGCCAGGGAGGGAAUUCAACUGGUGAGCACAGACUGUGGGUAACCACUCCAGCAUUCCCACGCAUUGCCAAGCACCCGCAAGCCUUGAAUUUACGAGCUCAGUCUGAGUUGCAAAUUGAACGAGACCUGCUUCUUUUGAAUUUCCUAGCUUCAUAGUUUUGAUCCUUAUGUUUCAUUGCGUUAAAUCCUUUCAUGUUUGGGACAGUAUAAAACUUCUGUUUUCUUUUUCUGCGUUAGCAAGAAAGAGUCACUUUGUAUUCUGGGUGUUUUGCAAAAGAUGUUUAACUGAAAUUGUUGUUUAUUGUCAUAACCGAAAAGCACUUCCUUUCAUGUUUCAUUUUAAAUGCAGCCCUGAUGCUCACAAAUAAUAAAAUACAAACUCAUCUUUGCAGUUGCAAAAGUUGGUAAAGCACAUAAGCAAUUCUGGGAUUUUCUUGUUUCCAUUAAAAAUGCCCAAUGUCCUGUAUUUGCAUGGUUGCUAACAUGAUUUAGAUCUGGCCUGCUAAGCUCUUUUCAGCAUACUGUAGGUCUAAUUGUACAAUUUUCCCAAAGAGGAACGCCAGCUUUUCCCUUUUCUGUGACAGAAACGCUCCCGCUGUGAACCUGCAGCAGGGCUCUGCUCCCCAGCGGGGCACGGGGGGGCACUUCCAGCCCCAUUUCCUCCACCAGGCGGGGAGCAGGGGUCCCCAGGGCUUCCCCAGCUCUCCUUGGGGCUCUGCCUCUCUGACAGUUGCCAGCUUGCAGCCACACCUGCUCAGGGCCACUAAACUGUUUUAUGAGAAAAGCAGCUUAAUAUCUUCCAGUAAAAAUCAUUUUGGAGGUUCCGUCCCCCUGAGCCUCCUUUUCCUUUUACCCCUGCCUCUCCUGCAGGCUCGGUGCAAACCUAAUUCCCUGUGAGCGUGAACAAUCCCAUCUCUGGUUUUUAUACAUUCGGUAUAAACAUUUCCUGAAGCUCAUAAACACCUUUGUCAUUUAUCAGUGCAGUGAAAGAUGUUUAUUGCCUAAAUAUGAAAACUGUGAUAGGAUUAGUGCUUAAAGAGGCUCGCCGCCUGAUUCUGUAUGGUGAUGUUCUCCAAAGGAGGGGCGACUUUGGGACCGGGUUUUCAUUGUGAAUACAAAGGCCCCCACUUUUUAAUUACUGGUAGCAUUGAUUGCAACUUCCAGCAUUAAAUGGCGAGCACUGUCUGACCAAAGCUCAUUUUACAGCAGUUCUGGUAUGUACCAAAUUGAAGGAGGUAAAAGAAAAUGGUCGGGGUGGUGGGGGAGGAAGAGGAGAUCUAUAACUGGCAUGUUAAUAAAACUCCAGUUUGUCACUUCAGCAGCACACCCUGAGUGUAAUAACUAAGCUUCCUUUCUAUACCCCCUAUGAGUCCCUUUGUAUUGACAGAUGCCAUUUGUUCAUUUACGACGUGAUAAUAAAAACCUUCAGUUUUACUGAAUGUUGUUCUUUUCCUCCCCUGACACUGGGGCACCAAAUGGUUUGUACUGCACUCAGCAGGCACUUUUCAUUAGAGAUCAUGGCAUGAAAAUGAACUGUAUUUGAAAACCAUUUAGUAGCAAAAGUUCUGGUAUUGAAUAGGCUGCAUAUAAAUCUUCCCUACCUAGGAAGCGGCUUCCUAGGUGCCUCGGCACACACUAGCACGCAUUUACAGAUGCAUGCUGAAAUAAUGGGUGUCUUUAUGUCAAGCAGUGCCGCUGCAUUUGAGAGUCCAAGUGCUCGGAUUCCUGUAGUAAUGAUUGUAUGUUGGUAUCAGUUUCCUGUGAUAUAUUUCUUUUAAAUCUCCAUCCAGAUUUAAAUGGCUCAGAAACAUUUCUUUUGGUUUAUCUGUAUUUCUUUAAACUCAUGAUUUCAAAUGUUUCCAGAAGUUUUCUCUUACACACACACACACACAAAUUAAGCCAAAACUGUAAAUUCAGAUGUCUGGAAACUAGCAUCUGAAUUGAUAAUUAAGCCUUUAUUCAGGAAUGCUUGUAAACAUCAGCUCAAAGUUUAUUUUUAAGCACUAUUCAGAACUCAGGCUUACAACACCUAAAAAUGUGACUUGGUUUUCAAAGACACUGAAUGCUCAGCAUUCCCACUGACCUGAAAAGAAUAUAAGUGCAUAACUUGUGUUUGAUUCACCUUUGAAACUGAUGUCCACAAGUUAGAAAUAUUUUGUCCAAAAUGUAACAACAUUAUAAAAUGUGUAAAACAAACAAACAAACAAAAACAAACAAACAAAAAAAGAUAAGCAAAGGAAUGGACUUUUUUUUUUAAUUAAAAAAAAAAAAAAGCUUGGAGGAUAAAUAGUAUUUCUUUCUCACUUUGAAAAGAAGUCAUUUAUAAAUUCAGUGGCUAUCUAUAUGUUUUUCUGUGAAUAGUACAGUUAAGUUUAUCAUAACUAGCAAUACAUAGCAAUAAUCCAUAUUCGUUAUUCACAACUGAAUGAAAAAAGCAAUUAUUAAACCAAAAAGAGUUUGGCCGAAGUAGAACACAGCCACAUACUGUGCUCUUUAUGUGCUAAUAGAAUGUUCUCUGCAUUCUUCCCAAGGCAAAACUCUAGCAACACAUCACAAUAGUCUACAAUAUGACAAUGUUACUCUUUUUAAUUAUUAUUUUAUUUGAACCCGU